AAGUCGUAACAAGGUUUCCGUAGGUGAACCUGCGGAAGGAUCAUCAACAAAUCUAUAACUAUCGUCGCAAGACGAUAAUAUACCAAUGUGAAUUGGGAAUGUAACAGUUCCUUGAAGUUUUUGUCUAGUAAAAUAGGCAAAAAUAUUAACGAGUUAACCAGAGACAGUUGAAAAAUUUAAAAUUAAAAACAACUUUUAACAAUGGAUCUCUUGGCUCUU
rnacentral:misc_RNA from 1 species